GCUGACUGUCUGGGAGAAAAAGCUACUUUGUUCCUCCUGAGAGUAAAUUUCUCCCAAAUUCAUCCAGAGAAACAAAUUCAACUGAAUAAAAAUCAGUAGGAGUGCAUCUGACAGCUAUUUUGUGCUGAUAAAAACAGAUGAGGAAUUGUUUUGAAGCUGGAUUCCACCACUGGUUCUUUUAUUCUUGCUGAAACCUGUCACCACAUAAACAAAAUCUGGUGUGAUCAGACAGUAAGCAGUGUGGGACCAGGGCAGCACAUCUCCUUACAGCCAUGUAGCAGCAGCAGCAGUGGGGCUUCUACCCCUCAGUCACAGGAGCUUGAACCAAAUUCAGCUGUGAGCUUAAAUAAUGUGAGAAAAUGUCUAAAAUUAUUCACCUUCCCCUCCUUUAGCCUUUGCAGGAGCACUUUUGGCAAGCUGCAUGUGUCAUGACUCAAAAUCUUGGGAGCACAUCCAAACUGGAAAUGCUUCCCUCUCCUUCCACUCACGUGUCCUCCCAGCUGUGUUCACUGCAGGCAGGUUGUGCUAUUCCUGACAGGAACAACUUGUUGAUGCUACCUUGUUUUGGCCACUGCUU